rnacentral:piRNA from 1 species
UGAAUAGAGUAUUCCAGCCAGUGUCC